rnacentral:rRNA from 1 species
UACGUAGGGGGCUAGCGUUGUCCGGAAUCAUUGGGCGUAAAGAGCGUGUAGGCGGUCCGGUAAGUCCGCUGUGAAAGUCGGGGGCUCAACCCUCGAAUGCCGGUGGAUACUGUCGGGCUAGAGUGCGGAAGAGGCGAGUGGAAUUCCUGGUGUAGCGGUGAAAUGCGCAGAUAUCAGGAGGAACACCGGCGGCGAAGGCGGGUCUCUGGGCCAUAACUGACGCUGAGGAGCGAAAGCGUGGGGAGCAAACAGG